rnacentral:lncRNA from 1 species
CGGCCGCCCAACCCCAGCACGUGCCGCCGAGGAUGCUAGCCUACCUACCUUUUGUAAGCCAAGCGUUACCUCCUGAGUGAAUCUAGCUACGCCCCCACAAGUUGGAACUGGAACCAAUGCCCCUAUUACGGAGGAAGAAAUGCACUCUGAAACGCUAAAUAUUUCCCGUGGCCCAAGAAAAACUGGUGAUGAAGCUACAGCUGAUUACUAGUUGGAAAAGAACAAUGGUAAAUACUCAGAGCCAUUUGUCAAAAUGCUGAAACCGUUGAGCAAAAAUUCCAGUUUCUUCUCUGGUAAUUGUGCAAGAUGACCUGCUUUAGAAAGAGAGGGGCUUCAAAAUGCUUUGGUUCAAGCAUCAUGGGAUCUUCUUUGUUUGCCUGUCUCAAAAUGAACAGAGGCUCUGCCAUGUGCUACUGGCUUCUGUCUCUGACCUCAACAAGGGUAUCCCAGGUGUUCAUCAUUUCCCAGAUGGUGAAGAAUGGAACAGAAGACUGUAUGGCUAGAAGCUUUCUUUUGAGGAGAGUGUCAAGAAACAUGCCCUCUUAGCUCAAAAAGCUGCACAGUUUUCCAGAACU